rnacentral:rRNA from 1 species
UACGAGGGGAGCUAGCGUUAUUCGGAAUUACUGGGCGUAAAGCGCACGUAGGCGGCUUUGUAAGUUAGAGGUGAAAGCCCAGAGCUCAACUCUGGAAUUGCCUUUAAGACUGCAUCGCUUGAAUCCAGGAGAGGUGAGUGGAAUUCCGAGUGUAGAGGUGAAAUUCGUAGAUAUUCGGAAGAACACCAGUGGCGAAGGCGGCUCACUGGACUGGUAUUGACGCUGAGGUGCGAAAGCGUGGGGAGCAAACA